UCAAAGAUUAAGCCAUGCAUGUCUCAGUAUAAGCAACUUGUACGUGUGAAACUGCGAAUGGCUCAUUAAACCAGUUAUAAUUUAUUUGAUAGUGAAUUUACUAGAUGGAUAGCCGUAGUAAUUCUAGAGCUAAUACAUGCACAUAAGACCCGACUCGCGAGGGAAGGGUUGUGUUUAUUAGAUUGAAAACCAAUGUGGGUGUAGGGGGGAGAGGAGAAAUCCCCUUCCCCCUACACCACGUUAAAAGGGUGAGUCAUGAUAAAUGUCGAAUCGAAGUUUACCCUUCGAUGUGUCAUUCAAAUUUCUGCCCUAUCAACUUUGUUGGUAGGAUAGAGGCCUACCAUGGUAUUGACGGGUAACGGAGGAUUAGGGUUCGAUUCCGGAGAGGGAGCCUGAGAAAUGGCUACUACUUCUAAGGAAGGCAGCAGGCGCGCAAAUUACCCAAUCCCAACUGUGUUGGGGAGGUAGUGACAAAAAAUACGAAUGCCGGGUCGUUUAACGGCUCGGUAAUUGGAAUGGUAUGGAAGUAAACUGUCCAUAGAGCAGCCAUUAGAGGGCAAGUCUGGUGCCAGCAGCCGCGGUAAUUCCAGCUCUAAUAGUGUAUACUAAAUUUGCUGCAGUUAAAAAGCUCGUAGUUGGAUUUAGGGUGGGGCAGUAUACGUCCGUGCGCUUGCAGUAAUAAGCGACUUGUCUGUUCUCUGUUACUUAAAGGGGGCAGCUUGGUUGACAUGCUGGUUGAGUGUAUGGAGGUUGCUCCGCCCGACGAAAUAAAGACGAGUAACUCUGCAUGGCCCUUAACUGUGGCUUGUGCGGUUGUUCUCGGAGGGUUUACUUUGAAGAAAUUGUAGUGUUCAAAGCAGGCGUUUCGCAGCUGAACACAUUAGCAUGAAUAAUAAAAUAGGACAUCCGAGUCCCUGACCUCUUUUUUUUUGUUUGUGGGUUAGGAAGAGUGUGGGUUGUUGAAGGUUUUAGGAGAAGUCUUUCUCUUAUCCUUCUCAGCCUCCACUCUCUUUCUCUUUCUCACGCAAAAAAAAAAGUUUAUGGGGGAAGGGACUAUUCUUAAGAAUAUCCUUGUUUUGUUGGUUUUUGGAGAGGGUGUAAUGAUUAAUAGGGACGGUUGGGGGCAUCCGUAUUGCAUAGUCAGAGGUGAAAUUCUUGGAUUUAUGCAAGACGAACUAGUGCGAAAGCAUUUGCCAAGGAUGUUUUCAUUAAUCAAGAACGAAAGUUAGGGGAUCGAAGGCGAUCAGAAACCGCCGUAGUCUUAACUAUAAACUAUACCAACUAGGGAUUGGAGAGAGUUUAAAAUACAGCCUCGUCAGCACCUUUAGAGAAAUCACAAGUCUCUGGGUUCUGGGGGGAGUAUGGUCGCAAGGCUGAAACUUAAAGAAAUUGACGGAAGGGCACCACCAGGUGUGGAGCCUGCGGCUUAAUUCGACUCAACACGGGGAAACUCACCAGGUCCAGACACGGGAAGGAUUGACAGAUUGAUAGCUCUUUCUUGAUUCUGUGGGUGGUGGUGCAUGGUCGUUCUUAGUUGGUGGAGUGAUUUGUCUGGUUAAUUCCGAUAACGAACGAGACCUUAACCUGCUAAAUAGCUCAGCGUCACUCCUGAAAAAGAGUGAUGUUUUUUUUUAAAGGGGGGAGGGGGAGGGAGGAAGGGAGGAGGGAGGUCUCUUCUUUCUCUUUUUCCUCUCUCUCUCUCUCUGGAGCUUCUUAGAGGGACUACCAUGGUUGCACAUGGUGGAAGCUUGAGGCAAUGACAGGUCUGUGAUGCCCUUAGAUGUCCUGGGCCGCACGCGCGCUACAAUGAUGCGUUCAGCGAGUGUGUGCUUGUUCGAAAGAACCGGCUAAUCUUGUGAACGCGCAUCGUGCCUGGGGAUUGAUCUUUGUAAUUUUGGAUCAUGAACUAGGAAUACCUAGUAAGCGCAACUCAUCAGGUUGCGCUGAUUACGUCCCUGCCCUUUGUACACACCGCCCGUCGCUCCUACCGAUUGGAUGAUCAGAUGAAAUGCCCAGAUCCGCGGUGCGUUGCUACGUUUGGAGCAGUGCGCCGUGGAGAAGAGUAGUGAAUCUUAUUAUCUAGA
rnacentral:rRNA from 1 species